rnacentral:rRNA from 1 species
CUGGGCUCGAACGGCUUUGGAUCAUCUUUGGAAACAGAGACUUCUCGCAAGAGACCGGAGUCGAGGUGCUGCAUGGCUGUCGUCAGCUCGUGUCGUGAGAUGUUGGGUUAAGUCCCGCAACGAGCGCAACCCUUGUCCUGUGUUGCCACUCCCGUAAGGGAAGCACUCUCAGGAGACCGCCAGCGAUAAGUUGGAGGAAGGUGGGGAUGAUGUCAAGUCAUCAUGGCCUUUAUGUCCAGGGCUACACACGUGCUACAAUGGACGGUGCAAAGCGCUGCAAACCCGCGAGGGGGAGCCAAUCGCAAAAAACCGUUCUCAGUUCGGAUCGCAGGCUGCAACUCGCCUGCGUGAAGCUGGAAUCGCUAGUAAUGGCGUAUCAGAACGAUGCCGUGAAUACGUUCCC